AUAAAGUGGAUUAGCGGCGGACGGGUGAGUAACACGUGAGUAACCUGCCUUAGACAUUGGGAUAGCCUCGGGAAACCGGGAUUAAUACCAAAUAAAAUUAUAAUGACACAUGUCAUAACGAUCAAAACUCCGGUGGUCUAAGAUGGACUCGCGUCCCAUUAGCUAGUUGGUAGAGUAAAAGCCUACCGAGGCGACGAUGGGUAGCCGGCCUGAGAGGGUGAACGGCCACAUUGGAACUGAGAAACGGUCCAA
rnacentral:rRNA from 1 species